GAGGGUGUAGCUCAAGUGGUGGGGUGCAUGCCUAGCACGCAUGAGGCCCUGGGUUCAGGCCCCAGCACCUUUU
rnacentral:tRNA from 1 species